GAUGAAGAACGUAGCGAAAUGCGAUACUUGGUGUGAAUUGCAGAAUCCCGUGAACCAUCGAGUCUUUGAACGCAAGUUGCGCCCGAAGCCAUCAGGUUGAGGGCACGUCUGCCUGGGCGUCACAUAUCGUUGCCCAAUGCCUAUUGCAGUGCAAUAGGAAUUUCUAGGGCGAAUGAUGGCUUCCCGUGAGCGUUGUUGCCUCGCGGUUGGUUGAAAAUCGAGUCCUUGGUAGGGUGUGCCAUGGUAGAUGGUGGUCGAGUUAGAACGAUACCGAUCAUGUGCAUGCUCCCCAAAAUAUGGCCUCUAUGACCCACACGCGUCUUUUGACGCUCAUGACGAGACCUCAGGUCAGGCGGGGCUACCAGCUGAAUUUAAGCAUAUCAAUAAGCGGAGGA
rnacentral:misc_RNA from 1 species